UAAAAUCCACCACAAGGAUCUUUAUUUCAUGCUGUUAAUCAAGAAUCCUAUUGUCGAUUUGCCAUAUUCUAGCAAAAGUUCUAUGCUGAGCUUUAGACCAUUUGGGAAAAAAAAUAUCUAAAUCAUCAAUUAUUGUUUCUUUUAUAAUUUUUGGUUUAUAAUUUUUUCAUUGCUUCUGUUGCAGAAUCUAUUAUGUAGUAUAACUCUUAUUUUCACUUCCCAGGAUCUUGAUGAGUUUAAAACCAUCCUUAAACCACGCUUGAAACUAAUUGUCCAGAAUGAUGAAAGGGAAUGGUUUAUUGUAUUUGUAUCUAAAGCUCAUCCAGCUAAUGACCAGGCAAACAAAAUAAUGAUGAAAGGGAAUGGUUUAUUGUAUUUGUAUCUAAAGCUCAUCCAGCUAAUGACCAGGCAAACAAAAUGGCAAAGAAAGUAUAUGCUAAACUUGAAGUUGAUUUUAGCUCCAGAAAAAGAGAAAGGUAAACAUGCUAAACAGGACUUGUGACAACUGUACUCUCCCUACCCAACAUAAAUUAGAACGACUUCUUGGUUGACAAUUUUUCCAAAUUAUUUUUGUCUGUAGUUUUUGUUAACAUUUGUUUAGACAUUACAGAAUACAGUUAAUGUACUUUUCUUUUGAGCAAGAAUACACUCGAUGUAUAACAACCUUAACAAUCAUUUAUUUGUAUACCGUUCUCAUUAUUAUAACUUAUUGGGAAAAACCCAAGUUCCAUAUUGAUUAAAGAUAUAAUCCACAAAGGUUUUAUAUAGAGUGACACCCCUCACCUUACAAGCCGGUUUUUAAACUGGUUUUGUAGGGAUGAGUUGGGUCAAACUUUAAUUCUAUCAUGGUAUUACGAGCCUAUCGAUUCAGGCCACCUACCAUUUAUAUACGCACGCCAAGCCCAAAAAAAGUGCUGGGCGCAAGGGGGUGUAUUGGAAAAACCAAGUCUCACAUAUCGAUAAUUCGG
rnacentral:lncRNA from 1 species